GAAAAAUCUGACCAAUAAUGAAAAAGCCAAGUACUACAAAAUGGCAGAAGAAGAAAAAGCCCUCCACUCCCAGAUGAAUCCCAACUGGUCCUUCAAAGAUAACUACCGUAAAAGGGCGAAGAAACGUUCAUCCAACUGGGUGUAAAGAAGGUGGUUUUCUGUAAGUUGCUGGACCUCACUGAGGAUAUCAGAAGAACCUGCAGAGUGGUGGAGCCAGACGACAUUUCCACAGAAAAAUCAAAGAUCCUUGACUGAAGA